rnacentral:tRNA from 1 species
GCCCGAGUAGUCACGUAAGGGGCGUGAAUAGUCUGUAAAACUAUUGCCGGAAGGUCCUUUGAGUUCGAAUCUCAACUUUGGCACCA